UACGUAGGGUGCGAGCGUUAAUCGGAAUUACUGGGCGUAAAGCGUGCGCAGGCGGUUUUGUAAGUCUGACGUGAAAUCCCAGGGCUUAACCUGGGAAUUGCGUUGGAGACUGCCAGGCUGGAGUCUGGCAGAGGGGAGUAGAAUUCCACGUGUAGCAGUGAAAUGCGUAGAGAUCGGGAGGAACAUCAGUGGCGAAGGCGGCCAUCUGGGACAACACUGACGCUGAAGCACGAAAGCGUGGGGAGCAAACCGG
rnacentral:rRNA from 1 species